rnacentral:lncRNA from 1 species
AACACAAAAGUGAGAUAUAAGAACUCAGACAAAAAUAAAAAAAUUACAGAGAUCAAAAUAAAAAAUUUCAUAACUUACAGGGACCAAAAGACUAUUUAAACCUUUAAAUAUUAAAAUUAUUUUCGCAAGAAGAAAGGGAAUGAAGGAUACCGAAGUCACUUACAUGUAAAGAAAGAGAGCGGAGAAUUAUAAAUCACUUUAAUAGUAUAAAAAAAGAAG